rnacentral:rRNA from 1 species
AUGGAUGCUCUCAUUGACUGGGAUUUCUCGUAUGGCCAGAAGGUGGCCGAUCAGGUGCGUCACCGGUUCCACUCUCCGGUCCAUUUCGAUUGAUCUAUCUCCUCUUCGGAGUUCUUUCUGGUGGUUCUUUUCCAUUCAAGUUCUUUUCGUUUGGAUGUGGAUUCUGUCUCCAUGGCGCUCUGUUCCUGCUUGGGGGACAAUCUCAAGAGGUUCAACGUGUUAAUGCUCUCGGAUAAUAUUUUCCGUUUCUCGGUUGCCUCCAACCGUGUGGGUCAUUUCAUCUGUGCUUUGAAGCGUUGUCGCAUGCCAGCUUUUCAUUGUUUGUUCAAUCUUUUUCAUGGCAAGCCCUUUGUUUUGGAUCGUCGGGAGCCCAAGGUUGGUUCGGAAUGGAUGGUGCAUUCCAAUCGGAAGCGCGCGCACCAACGUUAUCUUCAUAACAUCCCGGCAGAUCUCUUAAAUGCUGUGCAUGGCCAUCAACGUAAACCUCUGGGUAUUAAGGGGGUGUUUGUUUCCAGGGACUUUUUUGUGUAG